GACGAACGCUGGCGGCGUGCCUAACACAUGCAAGUCGAGCGAAUGAAGUUCCUUCGGGAACGGAUUUAGCGGCGGACGGGUGAGUAACACGUGGGCAACCUGCCUCAUAGAGGGGAAUAGCCUUCCGAAAGGGAGAUUAAUACCGCAUAAGAUUGUAGUACCGCAUGGUACAGCAAUUAAAGGAGCAAUCCGCUAUGAGAUGGGCCCGCGGCGCAUUAGCUAGUUGGUGAGGUAACGGCUCACCAAGGCGACGAUGCGUAGCCGACCUGAGAGGGUGAUCGGCCACAUUGGGACUGAGACACGGCCCAGACUCCUACGGGAGGCAGCAGUGGGGAAUAUUGCACAAUGGGGGAAACCCUGGUGCAGCAACGCCGCGUGAGUGAUGACGGCCUUCGGGUUGUAAAGCUCUGUCUUCAGGGACGAUAAUGACGGUACCUGAGGAGGAAGCCACGGCUAACUACGUGCCAGCCGCCGCGGUAAUAC
rnacentral:rRNA from 1 species